CGGGGUGUGGCGCAGCUUGGUAGCGCAUCCGCUUUGGGAGCGGAGGGUCGCAGGUUCAAUUCCUGUCACCCCGAC
rnacentral:tRNA from 6 species